rnacentral:misc_RNA from 1 species
GAUGAAGAACGUAGCGAAAUGCGAUACGUAGUGUGAAUUGCAGAAUUCAGUGAAUCAUCGAAUCUUUGAACGCACAUUGCACCUCUCGGUAUUCCGGGAGGUAUGCCUGUUCGAGCGUCAUUUGUACCCUCAAGCUCUGCUUGGUGUUGGGUGUUUGUUCCGCCUCUGUGUGUGAACUCGCCUCAAAACAAUUGGCAGCCGGCGUACUUGUUUCGGAGCGCAGCACAUUUUGCGAUCCAGAUCAACGUACAGCGGCAUCCAAGAAGCCUUAUUUAACGCUCUUGACCUCGGAUCAGGCAGGGAUACCCGCUGAACUUAAGCAUAUCAAUAAGCGGAGGA